GAUGAACGCUGGCGGCGUGCCUAAUACAUGCCAGUCGAGCGAACGGACGAGAAGCUUGCUUCUCUGAUGUUAGCGGCGGACGGGUGAGUAACACGUGGAUAACCUACCUAUAAGACUGGGAUAACUUCGGGAAACCGGAGCUAAUGCCGGAUGAUAUUUUGAACCGCAUGGUUCAAAAGUGAAAGACGGUCUUGCUGUCACUUAUAGAUGGAUCCGCGCUGCAUUAGCUAGUUGGUAAGGUAACGGCUUACCAAGGCAACGAUGCAUAGCCGACCUGAGAGGGUGAUCGGCCACACUGGAACUGAGACACGGUCCAGACUCCUACGGGAGGCAGCAGUAGGGAAUCUUCCGCAAUGGGCGAAAGCCUGACGGAGCAACGCCGCGUGAGUGAUGAAGGUCUUCGGAUCGUAAAACUCUGUUAUUAGGGAAGAACAUAUGUGUAAGUAACUGUGCACAUCUUGACGGUACCUAAUCAGAAAGCCACGGCUAACUACGUG
rnacentral:rRNA from 1 species